UGGGAUGAUCUAUCUAAGUAGAUAAUUCUGGAAGCAGUUUGGAGAGAGAGGAUGGAGGUCUCAAAUAUUAAGUGGCAAUUUUAGAUUACACCAGUUUAGACAGCAAAGCCAGAGAAAAUAUGCUGAACAAUAACAGAAAAGGUCUGUGUGUGUUUUUCUUCUAUAGCCAAGGGAUGCACAGGCAGCCCCAAGGCAAUGAUGAUGUCAAAUUUUGUUAGAGAAUUUACUGAAUCUGACUCAGUGAUAGAUGACAAUACAAGACAACAAGAAAGGUAUGUCACAAAGCCCAAAUGACAAAUGUCAAUUGAAUAGUGCAGUUAAGUGCUAAGAGUUCAGAGGAGCUAGUGAUUACCAUGAGCCACAUUGAUCAGGAUUUUACUAGUAAGAUUUUUUUCCUUAAUACUAAGAUGUUAGCUGACAUGCUUUUCUUAUUAUGAUGAUAAAUAUUGUUACAAAUCUGAAACUAGAAUGAGUUGAAUAAGAAAAUACAAAAGACGAAAUUUGAAAUUUCAACUAUCUCUCAGCCUCAGGAUAAGCACUGAGAAGGAAAGAGUCAGUGGAAGUUUCUAGAGCCUCAAGGAUCAGGACCACUGAACUCAGAACAGUAGCGGCCUGUAAGCUCAUCCCUCUUCACAGUAGACCCUGUCUCUGCACUCAUGCUCUACUCUUCCAGCCAACAGGUACUUUUACCACAGGACCACAGUGAAGCUGACCGUGCACUUUCUGGGCUUUUAUAAAUGGGGGGAUAUAAUACUUGGAAAUCCUCAGGUUGCAUUUUUUAAAUUUAGAAUUGACAACACUCAAAAAACUCCACAAACCUAAUGUUCCAAAGAGGUCAGUUUUUUGGGAUGCCUGCCUGUUGCAGUCGGUUAAGCUUCUGACUCUUGGUUUUGGCUUAGGUCAUGAAUUAAGGGUGAAGAGAUCCAGUCCUGGAUGGGGAUCCAUACUCAGUGCAGAGUUUGCUUAAGGCUCUCUCUUUUUAAAAUAUGUAACUAUCCCCGUUCCCUCUAUUGCUACCAAACUGAGAAGAAUAAAAAAUGCCUUUCUCAUUCAUAAUGAUUGUUAUCAGACUUCUGGGAGAGCUGACUGAAAAACUGAGUCCUCUGACCAGACAAGGAAUCUGGAAAUUAGCUUUUUAUAGUUUUGAGAAGCCUUGG
rnacentral:lncRNA from 12 species